UGAGGUAUAGCUCAGUGGUAGCGUGCAGGCUUACUGUGAGUGAGGUCCUGGGUUCAAUCCCCAGUACUUCCA
rnacentral:tRNA from 1 species